ensembl:lncRNA
AGACUGUAACAGCCACUCAAAAAAGUUUAUUCCAUUCCUGGGUGUCACUAAUGGACAAUUUAGGCUGUUGAGAACUGCAAUUAAGCUUCUUUCAACAUCAAAAUCAACUCUGAGAAUUCAUCAUUGAAGAAAAAUUGAUUUUGUGCUUCCAAACACAACUGACUUCAGCAGAGAAAUGAGAUGAACAUUUACCUUCUGUCAUGUCCAAAGUUAAUCAGGGAAAACACACACGCACACACACACACACAGACAUACACACACACAUACGCACACACAGACAGACACACACACAGACAUACACACACACAGACACACACACACACAGAGACACAGACACAUACACACACAUACGCACACACAGACACACACACGCACACACAGACACACAGACACAGACACACACAUACACACACACAGACAGACAGACACACACACACAGACACACACACACACACGUUUUCCUGACAGGCAAACGAGCAAAUCACAGACAGAAGGGCAGGACAGGGGGAUAAAAAGGGAAAAAACAUCUUAAAAAAGCUGGGCUUCCAAACCCCUCCCAGCAGCCUCUGGAGGAUGACUUCAGUGGCUCCCUUAACUAGUUCUGUCACUGUAAAACCCUACAGUCAUUCUUGCACACAUAAAGGACAAAUAAGCUGGAGAGGACGACUCAGACGCUUUCAUUUUUAACUAUUCACCAAUGGAGGAGAAGGCAGAAUGCCUAAGCUAGGUCUCGGUGGCCAAUAGGGUAGCUGUGUGUCUCCCACAUGACUCGCUGCCCCUGUCUUUCACAUGGGCUGUAAUUUAGUUCAAUUCAGAACUGCAGAUAGUACAGGCUUCAGAGCAGCCAGAGAUGCCUGUGCACAAGUGCCUGAGCUCCGAGGGACUUUGGGAAACACUUGGCUAUCCCCCUCCUGCCUGGACCCCGGGACUCUGCACCUGCAGGACAGACAGCCCGGCCGCCGCCUCUGCCGUGCCUCCGGGGACGAGGAACCAGCACAGAUAACCGUUUGGAAAUGCUACUCUUUGAUGUGUGUCUAGAAGGCUAUUCAGCUGGCAGGGAAAGGUUUCAGAAACAAUUGUUGCAUGCUGGAUUCUGUGAAAGGGAAAGAAUGAAAAAUAAAAGUCAGGCAUUCCAAGAGUAGCUGCAGGAGACUGCCCCUCGAAACAUCGCUCCAGCACGCUGCUUUGUUCAUAAGAAAAAAAAAAUGAAGGCACACACAUAUGUACUGACUUCUCUUCUUUUCGCUCUUAAUGGCUAAUCAGAUUUGAUCUGUCCCCAAGAAAAAUAAAAGACAAACUUUGCUGACUCCACAGAUGAGGGUACCAUCCACUCUCCAGACAUCUGACAGUUAUUAUAAUUAGCUAUGAAAGACGGCUUAGAC